rnacentral:rRNA from 1 species
AUUGAACGCUGGCGGCAGGCCUAACACAUGCAAGUCGAGCGGAUGAAGGGAGCUUGCUCCUGGAUUCAGCGGCGGACGGGUGAGUAAUGCCUAGGAAUCUGCCUGGUAGUGGGGGAUAACGUCCGGAAACGGGCGCUAAUACCGCAUACGUCCUGAGGGAGAAAGUGGGGGAUCUUCGGACCUCACGCUAUCAGAUGAGCCUAGGUCGGAUUAGCUAGUUGGUGGGGUAAAGGCCUACCAAGGCGACGAUCCGUAACUGGUCUGAGAGGAUGAUCAGUCACACGGGAGCUGGGACACGGUCCAGGCUCCUACGGGAGGCAGCAGUGGGGUAUAUUGGGCAGUGGGCGAGAGCCUGGUCCAGCCAUGCCGCGUGUGUGAAGAAGGUCUUCGGAUUGUAAAGCACUUUAAGUUGGGAGGAAGGGCAGUAAGUUAAUACCUUGCUGUUUUGACGUUACCAACAGAAUAAGCACCGGCUAACUUCGUG